rnacentral:rRNA from 1 species
CCCUACGGGGCGCAGCAGUCGGGAAUAUUGCGCAAUGGAGGAAACUCUGACGCAGUGACGCCGCGUAUAGGAAGAAGGUUUUCGGAUUGUAAACUAUUGUCGCUAGGGAAGAGAAAGGACAGUACCUAAGGAGGAAGCUCCGGCUAACUACGUGCCAGCAGCCGCGGUAAUACGUAGGGAGCGAGCGUUAUCCGGAAUUAUUGGGUGUAAAGGGUGCGUAGACGGAGAAACAAGUUGGUUGUGAAAUCCCUCGGCUCAACUGAGGAACUGCAACCAAAACUAUUUCCCUUGAGUGUCGGAGAGGA